rnacentral:sRNA from 1 species
CAGGAGUGAGAAGGAAUUCAGGGAGAGCAAAGGAGCCAGUGCUGGGAUGCUGCUUGUUGGUUGAGGAAAACCUCAGGGCCGGAGGGCCAGGCCGGAGCUCAGGUCUCUGCUGACAGGGGAGGUUCAAGGAAGACGUAGUUAUCUCCCCUCCCCACUUACGCGAGGAGAGAGAGUCCCCUUGCUGGGACAGCCAGCUCACUUCCGAGGACAUCCCCUCCUGGCUUCUCCCACUUCCAAGUCUGCAGCGCGUGGGCUUCUCUGCCGAUGGGCCCGGGUUGGGGUUAAGGUGGGCAUCCUCCAGGUACAAUAAGCCUGAAGAGCAGCUUUCAGUGCAGACGGGGCUGCGGAGUGACACUGGCUGGGCACCUGCCCCACGACCAAUGACAAGGAUUUCCAGCCGAAUGCUUUAUUCCCAUAGGGAUCUGGACCUAUGCCCAAGAUAUAAAUACUACACUUUUUUUUUUUUUUACUGACAUUGUGAAAUUCUCCCCAUAGCUUUUGCCAUUCAAGCAACAUUGUGGUCUUUCUUCCCCGCCACGUGUGUGGGAAUGAUUGAGUCCUGUUUGCAGGCUGCAGAGGAGCUCUCCCUUCGCUAGUACUUUCUCUAAAGUACUAGUCUAGUAAAAUUUAUUCUUGUUAGGUCAACAAAA